CUUUUACUCGACAUGAAUAGUAUUAGUAACUCUCUUUAGACUAGCCCCUCUGCCCAACUAAUAAGAUUUUUUUUUAUUUUUCUGGUAGUUCGAUAGUGCAGAAGGUGUGCGAGCUGCUCUCCGUUUGGACAAGCAACUGGAGUUUAUUUAUCAGAACGUAACGGUAGAGAUGCAAGUUACUGCACUUGAUGGAACAGAAUUGAGUCAUGACGGGGAAACAUAUACUACAUGUAAGGAUCCCGUGGAAGAUGAUGGUUCUUUGUAAAUGCAGACUCUUCGAAUAUAAGGAUCUCGUGGAAGAUGAUGGUUCUUUGUAAUGCAGACUCUUCGAAUAUAAGGAUCUCGUGGAAGAUGAUGGUUCUUUGUAAUGCAGACUCUUCGAAUAUAAUGGCAUUGGCUAUGAAAAAGUGUAACUGCAUCAUUUUUUAUGACAUUAGUAUAUAUGUUGCCGUGAAUAGCAACAGAUUAACUGAUUGCAUUUAGUUUUAGCCUUAUUAAGAGAUUAUGAGACUUUUUUCUAGAA